rnacentral:snRNA from 1 species
AGCUUUGCGCAGUGGCAGUAUCGUAGCAAAUGAGGUUUAUCCGAGGAGCGAUUAUUGCUAAUUGAAACAGAGCUAACCUCAGCAAUGUUU